GUGGGUAUAGUUUAAUGAAAACGCUAGAUUGUGAUUCUAAUAAUAGAGGUUAAACUCCCCUUACCCACC
rnacentral:tRNA from 1 species